UACGUAGGGGGCAAGCGUUGUCCGGAUUUAUUGGGCGUAAAGAGCGUGUAGGCGGCUUUGCAAGUCCGUUGUGAAAACUCGAGGCUCAACCUCGAGACGCCGGUGGAAACUGCAAAGCUAGAGUCCGGAAGAGGAAGAGUGGAAUUCCGUGGUCGUGAGCGGUGAAAUGCCGGCAGAAUAUCAGGAAAGGAACACCCGUGGCGAAAGGGGCGGCUCCCUC
rnacentral:rRNA from 1 species